rnacentral:rRNA from 1 species
UACGAAGGGGGCUAGCGUUGUUCGGAAUUACUGGGCGUAAAGCGCACGUAGGCGGACUAUUAAGUCAGGGGUGAAAUCCCGGGGCUCAACCCCGGAACUGCCUUUGAUACUGGUAGUCUCGAGUCCGGAAGAGGUGAGUGGAAUUCCAAGUGUAGAGGUGAAAUUCGUAGAUAUUCGGAGGAACACCAGUGGCGAAGGCGGCUCACUGGUCCGGUACUGACGCUGAGGUGCGAAAGCGUGGGGAGCAAACAGG